rnacentral:rRNA from 1 species
GAACUGAAGAGUUUGAUCAUGGCUCAGAUUGAACGCUGGCGGCAGGCCUAACACAUGCAAGUCGAGCGGAUGAAGGGAGCUUGCUUCCUGAUUCAGCGGCGGACGGGUGAGUAAUGCCUAGGAAUCUGCCUGGUAGUGGGGGACAACGUCUCGAAAGGGACGCUAAUACCGCAUACGUCCUACGGGAGAAAGCAGGGGACCUUCGGGCCUUGCGCUAUCAGAUGAGCCUAGGUCGGAUUAGCUAGUUGGUGAGGUAAUGGCUCACCAAGGCUGCGAUCCGUAACUGGUCUGAGAGGAUGAUCAGUCACACUGGAACUGAGACACGGUCCAGACUCCUACGG